rnacentral:snRNA from 1 species
AUACUUUACCAGCAGAGGUAAUUCCAUGCUCAGGAAGGUGGUUUUCCCAGGAAAAGAUUUGUCCACUGCACUCGAGAUAUGCUGACCCCUGUGAUUUCCCCAAAUGUGGGAAACUCGACUGCAUAAAUUGUGGUAGUGGGGACUGCCUUUGCACUUUCCCAU